CAGAAAUUUAAUGAUGCCCCCCCCUGCAUAUUAGAAUAUUUUUCUUUGACCCCCCCCCCAUUUUCAUUUUUACUUGUCAAAUGGGGAUACCCAGGCGUUAUAGUAUUAAUUAUUAAAUAAGAAUAUGGAACUGGCAAGAUAUUAACGUCGACCAAAAAUAUAUAUUUAUUAGCAGAAAAUUAUAAUUAAAAGAGGAGUAUUUUUAUAUAUAACACUAAAAUCAGGUUUCCAUUUGGUCUGGGCGAUUGUAACCAUGUUUAAGGCUGCAACUAGACUUGAUGGUACGAAGUAUUGCCAUAGCAGCUGCGCGGCAACAAUGAAAGCAACAAUCAGUAAAAUUAGCAGCAAAAAGAGAUAGCAAUGACAAUUCUGCCUAGGCAUUCCUGCGAAAUACAAUGUAUAUACAUUUAUGUGAGAUUAAAACUAUUGGUAGUAUUUAGAUAUGUAAUUUAUAUUGUGACGAAGUUUAUAAAAUUAAAAAAAUUUAAAAAAAAAAUUAAAAAUUAAAAAUUAU